rnacentral:rRNA from 1 species
CCAAGGAGUCUAACAUGUGUGCGAGUCUUCGGGUGAUUGAAACCCACGGGCAUAAUGAAAGUGAAGGCUGCUUGCAGCUGAAGUGAGAUCUCUUCGGAGCGCAUCAUUGACCGACUUAUUCUACUCCUAGAAAGGUUUGAGUAAGAGCACAUCUGUUGGGACCCGAAAGAUGGUGAACUAUGCUUGAGUAGGGCGAAGCCAGAGGAAACUCUGGUGGAGGCUCGUAGCGAUUCUGACGUGCAAAUCGAUCGUCAAACUUGAGUAUAGGGGCGAAAGACUAAUCGAACCAUCUA